rnacentral:tRNA from 1 species
AGCCAGUGUGGCAUAGUGGGUUUAUGCGUUGGACUACGAAUCUGGAGACCAGGGUUCAAUUCCCCACUUGGCUA